rnacentral:lncRNA from 1 species
AAAAAUCUAUCUAAAAAUGGAGAAAUGCUUUGCUUCGAUGAUUUUCCUGGCUUCUUUUCUUCUUCUUGUCCUUUUAAACCUUGAACUCGUUCAUGCCGUCGGGUGUGCCGGAAGCUUAUUCAACAGUAACAGCACCUACGCUCAGAACCGUAACAAUCUCUUCUCUACUCUUGCUUCAAAAGUCGUUGCCAACGGUGGACUCUACAACGAUUCACUCGGCCAAAAUCCCAACAGAGUUCAAGCUCUUGUCUUCUGUGCAAGAGGCGUUGAGAAAGCUUGUAUUAGUUGUGUCCAAAAAGUGAUUUAGGAUAUACAAAAAGAGUGUCCAUAUCACAUGGAUUCGUUCCAGUGGGACAAAGACGAUGUAGACGACCGUGUUUCUUGUCUUGUACGUUCCUCAAACCAAGCAGCUUUCAAGAAACUCGAGCUUCGACCUGCUGACAUUCACCCAAAUCCAAACAGUAUCGAACCAUCCAAGAACAUGAUAAUUAAAAAAUAAUAUAAGUUGAAAGUCUCAUUUAAUAAGUAUCAAAAUAUAUGUAUCAUUUUAAAUUAAACUAUAUACCAUAUAAAAAUACAUAAAUAUCUUAAUUUUGAAAUUUAUUUUGAACAUUUUUUAAUAAAAAAAUUGAAAAAAUAUUGACAAUUUAAUUUUUUAAUAUAUUAUAAAUUACUUAAACCAUUAAUCCCCCAGAACGCAAGGCGCGGAUUUUAACCUAGUUGCUCAGUAUUUGGAAGUAACCCAAUACUUUUCUCAUCUCACGUAUAUAAAUAUGAUAAAUUUUUUAGGAUAUACUUUUUAAGUUUUUGUUACAAAAAUAAUUUUCAGUGAAAAAAAUGACUAAAAAAGUUUUAUUAAAAGGUAAAAGUACAUUUUUACCCUAGGAUUAACUAAUAUAGACUUAGGGUUUAGAGUUAAAGGGUGAACUUUUGCGUAUAAGGUUUCAAAUUUUAAAAAAUUAAAAAUAAAUAUUAAAAAAUUUAAAAUAAAAAAUGGUUAUUUUGGUCAUUUUCGUUUUUGAAGACUAUAUUUAUAAUAAAAAAAAAACUAUCCGAGAGAAUUGUCCUAUAAAUAGUGUACAUAACUAAGCGGUACAAAUAAAAAAAAAAAUCUAUCUAAAAAUGGAGAAAUGCUUUGCUUCGAUGAUUUUCCUGGCUUCUUUUCUUCUUCUUGUCCUUUUAAACCUUGAACUCGUUCAUGCCGUCGGGUGUGCCGGAAGCUUAUUCAACAGUAACAGCACCUACGCUCAGAACCGUAACAAUCUCUUCUCUACUCUUGCUUCAAAAGUCGUUGCCAACGGUGGACUCUACAACGAUUCACUCGGCCAAAAUCCCAACAGAGUUCAAGCUCUUGUCUUCUGUGCAA